GGCAGUUCUCAGGUGAUGCACUCCAGAAUCGGGCUCCCUUCUCUCUGGUUCUGGGUGCAUCAGCCUAGAACUGCA
rfam:Myotis lucifugus cont2.63824, whole genome shotgun sequence.